rnacentral:lncRNA from 1 species
UCUUACAGAAAUGCCACAUAUUCAUUGAAUCCUAGUUGAAAUUUACUGUUAACAACAUUAUACACAUAAACUAUUGCCCACCCAUCAAAAACAAGUAUACCCAUGCCCACCCGAUCCGACCCAACGAAUUUCAUCCAUGUUAAAUAAGAAAUUAGACAUCAAAAGGGCUAAACUUAGGGUUCUUCGUUAGAGUAGAGAUCACACAUCAAUUCAUUGAAGUAAUUGAAAGUAAGAAUCCAAUACAUAGGUAAACUUACAAUUUGUUGAACCCAAAUCAAAUUCAAUGUAUAAUCCAAUGCGAUGGAUGAUAUUAUUUGGGGAUGACGUUGUCCUCAAUUUGCAGAAAUCGAAUUCAACUUCAAUUUAAAAUCCCAAUUUGUUGAACCCAACUCAUAUUUAAUAUUCAGAACGUGAUCGCCGUCGAUGGGAACUUCACCGUCAACGAUACGAAGAUCCAAAGCCUAACUACGUUAGAAUUUUGGAGCUCGGAGAAUUCAAAAAUUGUGGUGGGUUUUGCCCAACAGGUGGAGUUAGAGAAAAUCAGUACAAAAAU